rnacentral:lncRNA from 1 species
AUUUUUAAAAAUAUUUUUGGUAUAAAUAAUAAGAAAAGUACGGUAUAAUAGGAGAACCUUGAUGUGGGAGGCUAAAUAUAUCAAUUUGAAAAUUUAAGAUGAUAAAAUGUAAGCGUUUUUUAAAAGUUAAGAAAAAAAGGCCGGUAGUUUUUUGUAUUUAGGCUUAAUUUGGUAUUAAGGUUUAUCUAACGCUAUUAGAUAAAAUAGAGUUGAGAAAAAAAUAUUUAGGAAUAUGCUUCUGUGUUCUUCGGUGGGGCCGUAGAAAAUAUAUCGUAAUCGACUCAUCACGGUAUUUGAAACACAAUAUUACGUACGGAAACAAACAGGAUAUUUUUCCAAUAUAAUUUCUUACCGCACGUAACGCAAUAUCCCCAUAAUUCCAAACGAAGCCUUAGCCAAUUAUAUAUAUAGAGAGAGAGAGUAGGACUAAUGUGUUAGGAGCACAUCAGUCAUUGUGCUCCUUAGUUCAUAACCAUUUAUUAAUUUUUAUAAAUAGUUAGGAUGAAAGAGAAAAGAGAAAUUAAAGAUAAAUUCAAAGAGGAGAAAUUGAUAUAUUCAAUUUCUUCUCAAUUUCUCUUCUUUUUCUUAUCCUAACUGCCUAUUAAAAUUGAUGAAUGGUUAGAAACUUAGGGUACCGUUUGAUUCGAGUAUAAGCAAGAACUAGUUAUUAUAGGGAUAGGUGCAAAUAUGAGGAUAAGAAAAAUAACGUUUGGAUAAAAAUUGGGCUGUUCCCGGGGAUAAGAAAAAUAUUAGAUAGUUUUAUAUAAAAAAUGAAGGUGUUGGUGGGAAUAACCAAGAACUACUAUUCUUGGGUAAAAAAUUAGCGUUUGGAUAUAAAGGAGGGAAUAAGGGCUUGAAAUGCAUUUCGAACUUUUUCUUUCGUUCAAGCUUAACUCAUUUAAUUUCAAGUUGAGCUCGAGCGAGCCAAAUAUCAAGCCAAAUGCGAGCUGGCUCGCUUAUUCGCUAGUCCUAUCUGAGAGGUAAAAUUGGUCAAAGGAACAGAUCUAACGGUGGAAAACUAAUAAGCACUUGGUGCUUAUAAAUUUUCCGCUGUUAGAUCUGCUUCUUUGAUCAUUUUUAUCCAUUAGAUCAUAUUGUUCAACUAAUCAUCCACUCAAUCAUAUAAGAUUUUAUCUUCCUAAUAAUAUAUCCUUAAUCCAAGGACUAAAAGAGCUUCACACACUCUCUCUCUCUCUCUCUAGUUUAGUUAUUAAAGGGUAGAUAAUUGCUCACUAGUCUAUCAACAUUUUUUAAUAGAAAAUUGAGAAGAGGUUUUUUAAGUCCUUGCUAUGAGUCCUCAACUGUAUUUUUGACACGAUGGCGUAAAUAUACAAAGGCUAGUAAUUAGUAUUUAAUUAGGAUUUUUUUUUGAGAGAGAUAGAUAGCACGCUACCCGCUGCGUUUAUUUUAUUUAGAAAUAAAUUUAGCUAGAAAUGUGAAUCAAUCAGGAUUCGAAUUUGGGUCCCGGGAACCAACCACGAAGCUCUUUAUUUGCCACUUGUUCUAGGAACGGUCGGUAAUUAGGGUUUAUUGAUAGGUUGGUAAAUGGUAAUGCAUUAUUAAUAAUAUAAUGAGAGAUAUUUAUAAGGAAUUGUAUAUUACUUACAGGUGUAAAU